CACACGGGAGACUGGUCAUCCACACACAAUAUUCCAUCUCUCCACCAAUUCCAAUAUUGGUGGCCAGUGGGGAGGGGAGGGGCUUCCUGGAGCACUAGUGUGGGUGUAGUGGGCUGAAGGGACUAGUUUGCAGAGGGCUAGUAUGGACAUUGUGGGCCAAAUGGAUUCUUGGGUGGCAGC